GGUUAGGGGUUGGGUUAGGGUUUAUUGGGUUUAGGGUUUAUGGGGUUAAGGGUUAGGGGGUGAGGGGUUAUGGGUUAGGGUUUAUGGGUUAUGGGUUUAGGGAUUGGGUUAGGGUUUAUGGGGUUUAGGGUUUAUGGGGUUUAGGGUUUAUGGCGUUAGGGGUUUAGGGUUAAUGGGGUUAGGGGUUGGGUUUAUGGGGUUAGGGGUUUAGGGGUUUAUGGGGUUAAGGGUUAGGGUUAAUGGGGUUAGGGUUUAGGGGUUAUGGGUGAUGGGUUAGGGGUUAGGGUUUAUGGGGUUUAGGGUUUAUGGGUUAUGGGGUUAGGGGUUGGGUUAGGGUUUAUGGGGUUUAGGGUUUAUGGUGUUUAGGGUUCAUGGGAUUUAGGGUUUAUGGCGUUAGGGGUUUAGGGUUAGGGUUGGGUUAGGGUUAAUGGGUUUAGGGUUUAGGGGUUAUGGGUCAUGGGUUAUGGGUUAAGGGGUAGGGUUAGACACAAUUCUGCGUGGGUUUUCUCCGGGUCCUCCGGUUUCCUCCCACUCACCAAACUUUGGUUUACAAUUGGCAAAAAACAUAAUUCGUCUGUGUGGUUUUUCUCCGGGUCCUCCGGUUUCAACCACACACCCCAUAAAAAAAGAAUAAAGAUUUGGAAAUAUACAUUUUUUGUCUCUGCAUUUUAUUCAACAUUUCAUUGUCAUUAUCUGAUGUUACAUCAAAGGGAAACUGUUGAUCAUUUCUCUUGUUCCUUCACAAGGACUAAAGUCCUGAACAUUGAGGGCGCCUUUCGUUGUUGGUGGCAGGUGAUUGUCACUUUUAAUUCAAAUGACACUUUUAAGGUUCACAUAAUGGUAAUAAUUCUAUAAUAAGGUCCAAACCAAACCUGCUGUUGUUGAGUUUGAGGGAUUUAGAUCAACAAGCUUUUACAAAUAUGAGGUCGGUCGAAAAGAAAAGAACACUUUAAAUGUAAAUUGUGCAAUUCAACAAAAAGGACGGACGGAUGAGUCCUCCCUGAUAAAACGAUGGAGCUGAACGCAACGUCUCAAUUACAAAACGAUUAUGUUCCAGUAUUUUAACCAACAAGCUUGUGCACAUAUGAGGUAUAUCACAAAGGUCAGACAAUGUGUACACAUUCCUUUUCAAAGAGAGAGAGACAAAGUAGUUCCAGAGAUAGGGUC
ensembl:lncRNA